UACGGAGGGUGCAAGCGUUAUCCGGAUUCACUGGGUUUAAAGGGUGUGUAGGCGGGUCUAUAAGUCCGUGGUGAAAUCUCCGGGCUCAACCCGGAAACUGCCAUUGAUACUAUAGGUCUUGAAUAUUGUGGAGGUGGGCGGAAUGUGUCAUGUAGCGGUGAAAUGCUUAGAGAUGACACAGAACACCGAUUGCGAAGGCAGCUCACUACGGGAUCAUUGACACUGAGGCACGAAAGCGUGGGGAUCAAACAGG
rnacentral:rRNA from 1 species